rnacentral:rRNA from 1 species
AGCAGUAGCCACGGUAAUACGAGGGGGGCAAGCGUUGUUCGGAAUUACUGGGCGUAAAGCGUGCGCAGGCGGUUCCGCAAGUCAGAUGUGAAAUCCCCGGGCUCAACCUGGGAACUGCAUUUGAAACUACGGGGCUAGAGUGUGUCAGAGGGGGGUGGAAUUCCACGUGUAGCGGUGAAAUGCGUAGAUAUCGGAAGGAACACCAGUGGCGAAGGCGGCUACCUGGACUGACACUGACACUGAGGCGCGAAAGCGUGGGGAGCAAACAGGAUUAGAUACCCCUGUAGUCCCUGUCUCUUAUAC